GAGUUUGAUCCUGGCUCAGAUUGAACGCUGGCGGAAUGCUUUACACAUGCAAGUCGAGCGGCAGCGCGGGGCAACCUGGCCGCGAGCGGCGAACGGGUGAGUAAUGCAUCGGAACAUGUCCAAGUCGUGGGGGAUAGCCCGGCGAAAGCCGGAUUAAUACCGCAUACGCCCGAGAGGGGAAAGUGGGGGACCGCAAGGCCUCACGCGAUUGGGUUGGCCGAUGUCCGAUUAGCUAGUUGGCGGGGUAAGAGCCCACCAAGGCGAUGAUCGGUAGCCGGCCUGAGAGGGCGGACGGCCACACUGGGACUGAGACACGGCCCAGACUCCUACGGGAGGCAGCAGUGGGGAAUUGUUCGCAAUGGGCGCAAGCCUGACGACGCAACGCCGCGUGGAGGAUGAAGGUCUUCGGAUUGUAAACUCCUGUUGCCCGGGACGAAUAGCUUCAACCUAAUACGUUGAAGUCUGACGGUACCGGGUGAGGAAGCCCCGGCUAACUCUGUGGCAGCCGCCGCAGUAAC
rnacentral:rRNA from 1 species